UUUUACAAUGAAGAGUUUGAUCCUGGCUCAGGAUGAACGCUAGCGGCAGGCCUAAUACAUGCAAGUCGAACGGUAACAUUGGUGCUUGCACCAGAUGACGAGUGGCGCACGGGU
rnacentral:rRNA from 1 species